UUCGGCGGGCAGGGGGUGCCGCCUGCGGACCCCCCUCCCGGCCCUGCCCUCACGGGCGGAGCGCCCGCCGGAGGAUACCAAACUCUAUUUUAACGACGUUUCUUCUGAGUGGCACAAGCAAAUAAUUAAAACUUUCAACAACGGAUCUCUUGGUUCUGGCAUCGAUGAAGAACGCAGCGAAAUGCGAUAAGUAAUGUGAAUUGCAGAAUUCAGUGAAUCAUCGAAUCUUUGAACGCACAUUGCGCCCGCCAGCAUUCUGGCGGGCAUGCCUGUUCGAGCGUCAUUUCAACCCUCAAGCUCUGCUUGGUGUUGGGGCCCUACGGUUGACGUAGGCCCUUAAAGGUAGUGGCGGACCCUCUCGGAGCCUCCUUUGCGUAGUAACUAACGUCUCGCACUGGGAUUCGGAGGGACUCUUGCCGUAAAACCCCCAAAUUUUUAAAGGUUGACCUCGGAUCAGGUAGGAAUACCCGCUGAACUUAA
rnacentral:rRNA from 1 species